AAUGAGCAGGUGUAAGCAGAUGGAUGUUAAAAUCUGAUGAGAAGAAACUGAGGAUCAGAUGGUUGAGCUUGCUUGCUAAAGCCACCAAAGAAGAAACGGUGCCUUGCCUUUCAAUGAUCACUAAGAGACAUCAUUCACGACCUUCUGUUCAAGCAGUGGAGGAAGAAAUUGCUUCCCAGAGAGGAUUAGCCCCCUGCAUUUUACUAGAUAAAGAAAAAAUAAAAAGCCAUUGGACUCUGACAAGCUGAUUACUGUCUAUGGAAGAGCAAAAUGUCUCCCUUAGGACUAGGGGAAUAGCCAACAAGGUUUUCACUUCCAAUGUAAAUGAAAUGUCCACUGCGUUAAUAAGAGUUUGUAAGAGAAGAGGAAAGAGCAGAUAUAUGGAAGUGCUAUGAAAUCAAAGAAGGAGAAGAUGUGAAUUCUGAAUAGAGAAGCACUUUAUAAUUCAACAGAUAAGACUCUCCAUGCAGUCAUGUCAAAAAGGUCAGAGUAAAUGAGCAGUCCCUGGGCAGUAUAUAUCUUAUUACACUGUUAACAUACUUCUAAUCAUACCCAAAUUUUCACCUUAGUCUUUAUUUGCUCUUAUUAUCAGUCAGUAUGGCAGCCACUAUAACAAAAGCCCCACUCCUAUGUGGUACUUCACCAGACAAUAUACCAAGAUAUCAUCCUUCGCAUCUGGGAGCUUACAGGCAUAAAACUAAGAUGGAGAAGAAAAAUGAAUCAGGAAGUGACCCAGUCUAGAAUUCACAAAGAUGACACCACAAUGCUUCUUUGGGCCUAUUAGUGGAGGAUGCUGAAGCUAUGACUUUUAGGACCCAGUUUUCUAGUUCUGUCUACAUUUCUGGUUGGUUAAGAAUCAAUACUCUUUCCCAUCUUAAAGU